rnacentral:rRNA from 1 species
AAUUUUCAAUGAUUGACCUCGGAUCAGGUAGGGAUACCCGCUGAACUUAAGCAUAUCAAUAAGCGGAGGAAAAGAAACCAACAGGGAUUGCCUCAGUAACGGCGAGUGA